AUGAACGCUGGCGGCGUGCCUAAUACAUGCAAGUCGAGCGAACAGAUGAGGAGCUUGCUCCUCUGACGUUAGCGGCGGACGGGUGAGUAACACGUGGAUAACCUACCUAUAAGACUGGGAUAACUUCGGGAAACCGGAGCUGAUACCGGAUAAUAUAUUGAACCGCAUGGUUCAAUAGUGAAAGACGGUUUUGCUGUCACUUAUAGAUGGAUCCGCGCCGCAUUAGCUAGUUGGUAAGGUAACGGCUUACCAAGGCAACGAUGCGUAGCCGACCUGAGAGGGUGAUCGGCCACACUGGAACUGAGACACGGUCCAGACUCCUACGGGAGGCAGCAGUAGGGAAUCUUCCGCAAUGGGCGAAAGCCUGACGGAGCAACGCCGCGUGAGUGAUGAAGGUCUUCGGAUCGUAAAACUCUGUUAUUAGGGAAGAACAAAUGUGUAAGUAACUAUGCACGUCUUGACGGUACCUAAUCAGAAAGCCACGGCUAACUACGUG
rnacentral:rRNA from 1 species